rnacentral:rRNA from 1 species
GCGAACUACGUACUAGCAGCUGGGGUAAUACGUGUGGUGCUGGCGUUAAGUGGAAUGACUGGGGGUAAAGCGUUCGCAGGCGGUUGUAUAAGUCAGAUGUGAAAUCCCCGGGCUCAACCUGGGAACUGCAUUUGAGACUGUACGGCUAGAGUUUGGCAGAGGGGGGUGGAAUUCCACGUGUAGCAGUGAAAUGCGUAGAGAUGUGGAGGAACACCGAUGGCGAAGGCAGCCCCCUGGGCCAAUACUGACGCUCAUGCACGAAAGCGUGGGGAGCAAACAGGAUUAGAUACCCGUGUAGUC